UCUUGCCAAUGAUGAAAUAAGUUAUCCCUGUCCGACAAAUUGACAUCACAAUGGGGAAGAUGGUAAUCUGAGGCAAAG